GUCUACAGCCAUACCACCCCAUCUUGUCUGAUCCAGAAGCUAAGCAGGGUUGGGCCUGGUUAGUACUUGGAUGGGAGACUAUGGCAAUGUUUGCCUGGGAGUGGACC
rnacentral:rRNA from 1 species